rnacentral:rRNA from 1 species
AUGGAUAAGUUUCUUCUCAAAAGAAAGGCGACAUCACAAGUUACUCCAGAAGACAUAAAUUGGGAGGAGGAGAUUCAAUAUGACCAAGGCAAGAGGAAAUUGAUAGAACAUUAUCAUCCAAAUUUGAAAGAUGUGGUAAGAAGAAAAUACUUGCUUAAUGGACCUUGUCAGCCAAAGGAUGUUGAUUUUCCAUAUUCAAGUUUUGGGGCUAAGAGGAGAAGAUUCAAUCCUAAAUGGUAUAAAGAUCAUGGAAGUUGGGAUCGCAGCCACAAGAAAGAAGUUGGGUAUGAGGCAUUUGUUCUGAAUGGUUGGGAUACUUGGAGCAUUCCAACAAGACUAAAAGAUCAUGUUGGUGAGCCAGGUAGCGUCCAUGAUCAAGCAAUGAAAAAAUGUACUGAUUUACUAAAAAGAUAUCAACACAUUGAUGUUGCUAUGCAAGUUAACUGUGAAGCUUCGAAGGUUGCAUAUUUUACUCGACUAAAUGCAUCAAUUGACACAGCUAGGCUACUGUUGAAGCAAGGGUUGCCUUUUUCGCGGCCAUGA